rnacentral:lncRNA from 1 species
ACAGAAAAACAAAGUUAUGGUAGAAUAUUGAGCAUAAUGGAGGGCAAAAAUUUCUGAGGUUCCUAAGGUUACAACCAUGGAAAAUAUGCAUGAAGGAGGGAAGAGGCAAAGCAUCUGUUAGUGUGGGGUAGUUGGAUCUGGGUAGUUUGCAGAGCAGUUCCUUUCUUCUUGUGUCACCUUUUUAAUUUUAAAAAAGUAAACUAUAACAUAAAUGAAACCAAUUCCUUCUAAACACUGCCUUUGGUUUUGGCUGCUCAGGUGUGCUAAAUUGAGAACUUGGAAUGAGGUCGUUCAUGGAACCUCAGGGGGUGCAGAUGCCAGACUCAGCAGCAAUAGCAGGGGGUGCACAUUGCCAUGCCCUGCAAGCCCUAGUCCAUUCAGUAAGUGGCUCCAGCCCACUCUGCAUGGCCCUGGCCCCUGCUGUGGGAGGCAGGUGAUCCCAUCCAGCCAGAUCAUCUCUGUUAUCCUCAUGACUCCUGGGGCCACAGCUAGUGCAGGAGUUUUGCGGUAUUGAUGAUACAAGAAACACAUGCCUUUUAAGAAAGGAGGAAGAACUUCAGUUGCACACCAUUUUCCAAGUGAGUACUUGAUGUUGUGGAUUUUGGGUUCCACAAUAGGACUGCAUAUUCUUUGACAGUUUUCUGACGCGGUCCCAUCCUGUUGAAUGUGGAUGGGUUUGUGACUACUUCACCAAGAGAGUAGGGCACAAGGGAUUCUGUGUGACUUCUGAGGCUAGAUCAAGGGAUCCAAGCAGUUUCUGCCUGGCUUUCUGGAAUUCUCACCCCUGGAACCCUGAGCCUCUGUGUGGUAAGUCUGACAACUUAUGGUGCUGUAAUGGAGAGGUCACAUUUAGGUACCCUGAGCCCCCCUUCUACACCUUUGAGAUAAAUCUAGCCAAGCCAUUUGUAACAAGUCCAUGCAUUCAAGUCUUUCUGGCUGGAUACCUAGACCUUGUAGAGUAGGUUUGAACCAUCCCUCAUCUGCCCAAUCCAGAUUUCUGACCCACUAAAUCUGAGAGAAUAAUAAAAUGAUGUUCUGUGACA